rnacentral:rRNA from 1 species
GUCCAUGCCGUAAACGAUGUCUACUAGCCGUUGGGUCUUGAGACUUUAGUGGCGCAGCUAACGCGAUAAGUAGACCGCCUGGGGAGUACGGUCGCAAGACUAAACUCAAAUGAAUUGACGGGGCCCGCACAAGCGGUGGAGCAUGUGGUUUAAUUCGAUGCAACGCGAAGAACCUUACCUGGUCUUGACAUAGUAAGAACUUUUCCAGAGAUGGAUUGGUGCCUUCGGGAGCUUACAUACAGGUGCUGCAUGGCUGUCGU